rnacentral:tRNA from 1 species
UCCCUGGUGGCUCAGACAGUAGAGAAUCUGCCUGUAAUGCAGGAGACCCAGGUUCAAUCCCUGGGCAGGGAA